UGUAACAGAGCAGGCAUCAGGCCCAACAACGUUAGCCCACUACGCCUUGCCCAACCACAUCCCCACGGAAAACGCAGCAGUGACUGACAUUAGGCUAUAAGCACACCAAGCUUGACCUAGCUAAGACUCCCCGGCCGGCAAAUCUCGUGCCAGCAGCCGCGGUUACACGGGAGGCCAAAGAUAAUUUACCAACGGCGUAAAGAGUGACUUUAGAUCUCACCUACCACCGGAUCCCCAAAUUCUACCUCAGAGAUGAAAUCCCAAGUUAUUAAGAACCCCCAGGGAUCUCACCCACAUCAGGCCAUCUANCUCNNGAAA
rnacentral:rRNA from 1 species